UACGAAGGGGGCUAGCGUUGCUCGAUAAUCACUGGGCGUAAAGCGCACGUAGGCGGGUCGUUAAGUCGGGGGUGAAAUCCUGGAGCUCAACUCCAGAACUGCCUUCGAUACUGGCGAUCUUGAGUCUGGGAGAGGUGAGUGGAACUCCGAGUGUAGAGGUGAAAUUCGUAGAUAUUCGGAAGAACACCAGUGGCGAAGGCGGCUCACUGGCCCGGUACUGACGCUGAGGUGCGAAAGCGUGGGGAGCAACAGG
rnacentral:rRNA from 1 species